ACUGUGGUGGUUCAGUGGUAGAAUUUUUGCCUUCCAUGUAGGAGACCUGGGUUUGAUUCCUGGCCAAUGUA
rnacentral:tRNA from 1 species